rnacentral:rRNA from 1 species
AACGAACGUUAGCGGCGCGCCUAACACAUGCAAGUCGCACGAGAAAGGGCUUCGGCCCCGGUAAAGUGGCGCACGGGUGAGUAACACGUAGGUAAUCUCCCCUCGAGUGGUGGAUAACCCUCCGAAAGGAGAGCUAAUACAGCAUGAGACCACGAGCUCUUCGGAGCUUGCGGCCAAAGCAGGCCUCUACAUGUAAGCUUGCGCUGGAGGAUGAGCCUGCGGCCCAUCAGGUAGUUGGCAGGGUAACGGCCUACCAAGCCUAAGACGGGUAGCUGGUCUGAGAGGAUGAACAGCCACACUGGAACUGACACACGGUCCAGACUCCUACGGGUGGCUG